GGUGAUACUUAUUAUAAUAUAUCAUUGUAAUUUGUCAAUUGUUAAAAAAAAAUCUUUGCUCCCAUAAGAAAUGAUUAAACUUUGUGCUGAGGAUCCAUAGAUGCUACUCCUUACACACAUUCAAAGUUAAUAAGAGACAAGUGUUUAAUGUUAUACAUAACUUAAGGAGAGACCCUCUGACAUCAAGGUUUGAGGAGCAGAAAAAAUAGGCUUUACAAUCGUAUCAAAUCUUCAUUCAACUGCAAGAACU
rnacentral:lncRNA from 1 species